GACGAACGCUGGCGGCGUGCCUAACACAUGCAAGUCGAACGGAACUGUUUUGAAAGAUUUCUUCGGAAUGAAUUUGAUUUAGUUUAGUGGCGGACGGGUGAGUAACGCGUGAGUAACCUGCCUUCAAGAGGGGGAUAACAUUCUGAAAAGAAUGCUAAUACCGCAUGACAUAUCGGAACCACAUGAUUUUGAUAUCAAAGAUUUUAUCGCUUGAAGAUGGACUCGCGUCCGAUUAGUUAGUUGGUGAGGUAACGGCUCACCAAGACCGCGAUCGGUAGCCGGACUGAGAGGUUGAACGGCCACAUUGGGACUGAGACACGGCCCAGACUCCUACGGGAGGCAGCAGUGGGGGAUAUUGCGCAAUGGGGGCAACCCUGACGCAGCAACGCCGCGUGAAGGAUGAAGGUUUUCGGAUUGUAAACUUCUUUUAUUAAGGACGAAACUUGACGGU
rnacentral:rRNA from 1 species